GCCCUCGUAGUGUAACAAUAGCACACUUGGCGCGUAUUCGAGAGGUCUAGGUUCGAGUCCUGGCGAGAGCC
rnacentral:tRNA from 1 species